CUACGGGACGCUCCAGUUAGGAAUAUUCUACAAUGCGCGCAAGCGUGAUAGAUUGAGUCAGAGUGCGCUUCAAUUUGGAGUGCUUUUGUGAAAUCUAAAAAGUUUCACGAAUAAGGACUGGGUAAGACGAGUGCCAGCCGCCGCGGUAAUACUCGCGGUCCAAGUCGCAGCCAUUUUUAUUGGGUCUAAAACAUCCGUAGCUUGCUUCUUAAGUUCCUUGUGAAAUUUUGUAUCUCAAAUACAGAGCGUGCAAGGAGUACUGGGAAGCUAGAGACUGGGAGACGUAAGAAGUACGUUCAAAGUAGCGGUUAAAUGUGUUAAUCUUGAACGGACUAACAACAGCGAAGGCAUCUUACGAGAACAGUUCUGACAGUCAGGGAUGAAGGCUAGGGGCGCAAAACGGAUUAGAUACCCGGGUAGUC
rnacentral:rRNA from 1 species